UAAUACGGAGGGUGCAAGCGUUAUCCGGAUUCACUGGGUUUAAAGGGUGCGUAGGAGGGUCUGUAAGUCAGCGGUGAAAUCUCCGAGCUUAACUCGGAAACUGCCAUUGAUACUAUAGAUCUUGAAUACCGUGGAGGUGAGCGGAAUAUGUCAUGUAGCGGUGAAAUGCUUAGAUAUGACAUAGAACACCAAUUGCGAAGGCAGCUCACUACACGCAUAUUGACUCUGAGGCACGAAAGCGUGGGGAUCAAACAGGAUUAGAUACCCUGGUAGUCCACGCCCUAAACUAUGGAUACUCGACAUACGCGAUACACAGUGUGUGUCUGAGCGAAAGCAUUAAGUAUCCCACCUGGGAAGUACGACCGCAAGGUUG
rnacentral:rRNA from 1 species